UUGAAGGCAAAAGUCCACUCUAAAGUGAAGGUGAGUUUGCACUGGCUGUAAGUGGAAGAAGGGGAGAAAAGAAAUGGGGGUGGGGCGGGGGGUGUCCAUGAUCUGCAACUGACCUUGAAUGGGUUAAUGUGCUCAGUGUGUCCUAGAGAAGGAAGAGGCCUUGCUGGUAACCAGCUCCCGCAGAGGCACAUCCCCACCCUUCAGAAGACCCUUAAUGCGAACGUUAAUGGUAUUUCUCAGGUUUCCUCUGGACCAGUCUUUGCCGCUGCUGUGUUUGUUCCCAGCCUCACUCCGAGUCAAGGAAGCACCUGAAUCCACAAGAGGCUAAUGCACUUCUUAGAUACUUUUUUGGGGGAGACAAGUUUCCUGUCUUUUGUCCUUGAUUUAUUAUUGCUUUUAUUUGUUC
rnacentral:lncRNA from 1 species